GGGCCUGUAGCUCAGUCUGGGAGAGCAUCGGCCUUUUAAGCCGAGGGUCGCGGGUUCAAUUCCCGUCGGGCCCG
rnacentral:tRNA from 1 species